rnacentral:rRNA from 1 species
GUGGGGAAUAUUGGGCAAUGGGGGAAACCCUGACCCAGCGACGCCGCGUGAGGGAAGAAGGCCUUAGGGUCGUAAACCUCUGUUGUGUGGGAAGAAGAGCGUGACGGUACCACACGAGGAAGUCCCGGCUAACUACGUGCCAGCAGCCGCGGUAAUACGUAGGGGACGAGCGUUGUCCGGAUUUACUGGGCGUAAAGGGCGCGUAGGCGGUCAUUUAAGUCAGCUGUGAAAUGGUUUGGCUUAACCGGAUCAUGCGGUUGAAACUGGAUGACUGGAGUGCUGGAGAGGCAAGUGGAAUUCCCAGUGUAGCGGUGAAAUGCGUAGAUAUUGGGAAGAACACCGGUGGCGAAGGCGACUUGCUGGCCAGUAACUGACGCUGAGGCGCGAAAGCCAGGGGAGCAAACGGGAUUAGAUACCCUUGUAGUCC